AAGCCUUGGCACACCUUCGUGUGCUUCUCUAGAUUUGCAUUCUAGCGUGAGCCACCGCAAGAC
rnacentral:tRNA from 1 species